rnacentral:lncRNA from 1 species
UUGUCAUGUGACUGUCGGGCUGUCCCCCAGAGUUGGCGGGGGAUUUUCAGAGCUCUGUGUAGCAUGUGAAAUCGUGAUAUGGUGAAAAGGGCACUAGCUUGGGAGUUCCGUGAUCUCCUUGAACCCUCCAGGCUUUAAUUUCAUCAUCGGGCAAGCAGCAGAAGCAUCACAAGAGAGCCAGAGAAAAUGUGGGUUCCCCAUUUGCAAUGCUCAGAGGAGACCAUGUGCAUUGGGUAAUGGGAGAAACGAACACACACGUGAGACUUCCAAUCAAGUAACACGCACUGCUCAGCACAGUCAGAUUCAAGUGGGAGUGCACAUGGCGAGUCUUGAAGUUUAAGAUGCGUUAACAUCAGGCCUUUCAACUUCACAUUGUGCUAAAACCCAGCAGCAACACAGCAUCAAUCAACUAAGUAAGACUUCACUGGAAGACAGAGCCUGCACAUGGCCCCAGAGGGAGCCCCGCAGACAGAUUCCACGUCCAAGUUGAAAGGCAGAAACACACAAGGCAGCCGCGAAGUUUACUGUCCAUGCAAGGACCCACUUGAGAGCGGAUGGCCGUGCCAACCAGAUGGAACGCCCGGACAGCAGGUGUAAACCAGGACAUCCUGGCAAACAGGUC